CUCAGGACGUGGGGAUUGCCGAUCAUUGCUGGGUUUGAACCUCACCGGGUAUAAGAUCCCCUGAACCCUAAAAGAUGCUCACUUCCUCUUCUCUCGCCUCCCGUCGCCUCUGUUGAAUCCGGCGACUGGAGCCAGCUGCCUCCGCCUCUCAGACCGCAGAACCGUUGCCGACGUCGCCGGCACCGGACACGCCCUUUUCCGCCGAGGAAGUGUGGAGGUGGUGGUCCUGGAGGGGGCCAUCGUAGCAUCGCGCAGGAGCUUGCGAGGUGCACUGCAGAGUCCAGCGUCGGCAACCUCUGCUCGGAUCCGUUUCUUUGAGGUGGGUCAGUAGGUAAUAGUAAUCUGUGUAUUCACUACUCCUAAAGUUCAGUAUCUGAGUGCAUUCCUUGAGUUAGGUCGGUAGGCAAUAGAAAUUUGUGUACAUAAUUUGUACAUUUUUGAGAUACUAUGUCUGGUUAUUUACGAAUUCGCGCCCUGUUUGUGUGUGUUAAUUUGAGUGAAGUUUAUGGAUUUUCAUGAGCUUUGUGUGAGUCAUCUAUAGCAGCAAGCAUGUAAUUGCUUCAUGUUAUCACUCUUGUCUUACUGUGUCCUUGAUGCUCCAGGGAGUUUGUAGACUGAUUUCCUACCUGAGAUGACUUUGAUCAACCUUUUCUGUUAGAUUAAUUGUGUUGGUGCUACUUCUGUGGUUCUACGACCAUUUUGUGCUCAGUUUUUACCUCACAUCUGUCUCCUGCAUAAGCGCCCCCAGAACGGUCUUCCCUGGCGUUUUUUUUGCGCCGGCGCCGAAGAAACGGCCCAGUCGCGUCCCCGGGAGCCCGUUUUACGCCGGCUUGGGCCGAACUCACCGCCGGCGGACCCAGGCCGAACCCGACGCGCCGGGGGAGGGGGGGUGCCGGGGCGAGCGUUUUGGCACGAAAUAGCCGCGGGCCUACCGAGUCAGCGAGACGGCCGCUUCGUCGACCUCAUCACCUCGGUUCCCGCGGGAAUCAAUGCGAAGGCUGCCGCGCCGGUCAGCCUCCAUUGAUGCCUCAUGGGCGGCGCAGUGAAGGCGCCACCGACGCGUGUCCCGCCUGCAUGCACCACGCGUCCGCCCGCAUGCCACCCCCCGCCACCCCGCUUCGGCUAUAAAAGGCGCCCCUCCCCGCCGGUGAGCACCACAACCUCCCCCUCUCCCUCCCGUGAAACAACCUUCUCCCCGCCGGCGAGCUCCCUCACCACCCCUGCCCGCCGACGAGCGAAGCCAUGGCAGAGAGAUACCCUGGCGACGGCGCUGCGGCGAAUGGCUUCGGCCGCCGAUACCUCCAGGAGCCGGAGGUGCACCUUCUGUACGAGGCCGAGUACCCGGCGCCCCACGACAUACGCGUGCCAGGCUCGUGGCGACUGAGCGUCGGCGGCGUCCCGGUGCCGCCGGUGCCCGAAGGGGCGGCACGGCCGGCGGAGAUCGCCCACAUCCGCUCAUCGCUGGUGGGGGAGUAGCGGAACGAGCCGAGGUACGCGCCCAACAGGGAAACGCUGUGGACGCUGUACUUCGAGCGCCGCCGCGAGGAGCAGAUUGCCUCCGUCAACGGCGUCAUCCCCCGUGGCCGCCUCAACUCCGAAGGAUGGCGCGAGUGGUGGGACGUCCCCGGCCGCACGCUCGACGCCGUCCUCGACCACAUCGAGACCGGCAAUGUGCCGCGACUGGAGCACCUAACGCGGCCCUCCUUCUCUCGCCGCCGCGGCAGUUCCUGGAUCCCGCGGCCAAUGGAGCCGGGGUCGUCCUCGUCGUCGGGCUCCGGCUCGCCGGCCCUCCGUCCCGUCAAGCCCGAGCCGGAGGGGACACCUCUCGGGCGUCGCGUUCGCAGCGGCGUCCUCAUCAUCAACGAGCCCUCGCCGGCGACAGCACCGACGAGGCGCUCCCUCCGCCUGGUCCGGCCGAAGCCCGAGCCGAACGUGCUCCCCGUGAAGCCGGAGCAUGCCGCCAUGGUGGCCCCCGACGACGAGUCCGCCCUAAAAUGGGCGAAGGAGGACUACGUCCGCGAGUAGGUGCGCUGCCAGCGUCGGGCGUGCCUAGAAACCCAGGCCCGUAGCCGCACCGAGGCCCGUCGCCGCGCCGAGGAGCGUCGCCGCGCUGAGGAGGGCGGCGUUAUCGUCAUCGAUAGCGGCAAUGAGGACGAGGGCGGGCCGUCAAGCGCUGUCGGCGACCCCGGCGAGGGUUGCAGCAGGGACCCCGGCGAGGGCUGCAGCAGGGUGCACGACGACGACGACGACGUCGAUGGCGACUAUACCCGCUUCUACAGGCUUCUCGGCAUGUAAACGGCGCGGAGGCGAUGGCAGCGGCAGUGGCUAGACUUUUUUAGUUCGUUUUUAGGUUACUUAGGCGUUGUUCAUACAUGUUUCCAAGUUUUUUACAAAUUUGGAUGAAAUAUAGCCGAGUUCGUGUAAAAGUCGCCGAGUUUGCAAAAAGAUUGAGACGUACUUCGCCGAACCCGCGGCGACUGUGGGCGCGUGGCUGAGAGCGAACCGAGCCCCAGAAGGCCGAUCUAGCGCCGGCUCGCCCCCAGGCCGCUUUUUUUCAGCAUCCUGGGGCCGAACGGCUGAAGAUGCUCUUACGACCAGCCUCACUCCGUGCGUGUGCAACCGCCAGUCAACUCAGAACGUCGGGAUUGCUGAUCGUGCUGGGUUUGAACCUCGCCGAGUAUAAGAUCCUCCGAACCCUCAAAGAUGCUCACUUCCUCUCCUCUCGCCUCCCGUCGCCUCUGUCGAAUCCGUCGACUGGAGCAGCUGCCGCCGCCUCUCAGACCGCAGGACCGUUGCCGACGUCGCCGGCACCGGACACGCCCUCUUCCGCCGAGGAAGUGUGGAGGUGGUGGUCCUGGAGGGGGCCAUCGUACCAUCGCGCAGGAGCUUGCGAGGUGCACUGCAGAGUCCAGCGUCGGCAACCUCUGCUCGGAUCCGUCUCCUUGAGGUGGGUCAGUAGGUAAUAGUAAUCUGUGUAUUCACUACUCCUAAAGUUCAGUAUCUAAGUGCAUUCCUUGAGCUAGGUCGGUAGGCAAUAGAAAUUUGUGUACAUAAUUUGUACAUUUUUGAGAUACUAUGUCUGGUUAUUUACGAAUUCGUGCCCUGUUUGUGUGUGUUAAUUUGAGUGAAGUUUAUGGAUUUUCAUGAGCUUUGUGUGAGUCAUCUAUAGCAGCAAGCAUGUAAUUGCUUCAUGUUAUCACUCUUGUCUUACUGUGUCCUUGAUGCUCCAGGGAGUUUGUAGACUGAUUUCCUACCUGAGAUGACUUUGAUCAACCUUUUAUGUUAGAUUAAUUGUGUUGGUGCUACUUCUGUGGUUCUACGACCAUUUUGUGCUCAGUUUUUACCUCACAUCUGUCUCCUGCAUAUGCUUUCUAAGCAUAUCUAGUCGCGCCCACAGAACGGUCUUCCCUGGCGUUUUUUUGCGCUGGCGCCGAAGAAACGGCCCAGUCGCGUCCCCGGGAGCCCGUUUUACGCCGGCUUGGGCCGAAAUCAGCGCCGGCGGACCCAGGCCGAACCCGACGCGCCGGGGGGCGCCGGGGCGAGCGUUUUGGCGCGAAAUAGCCGCGGGCCUGCCGAGUCAGCGAGACGGCCGCUUCGUCGACCUCAUCACCUCGGUUCCCGCGGGAAUCAAUGUGAAGGCUGCCGCGCCGGUCAGCCUCCACUGAUGACUCACGGGCGGCGCGGUGAAGGCGCCACCGACACGCGUCCCGCCUGCAUGCACCACGCGUCCGCCCGCAUGCCACCCCCGCCACCCCGCUUCGGCUAUAAAAGGCACCCCUCCCAGCCGGUGAGCACCACAACCUCCCCCUCUCCCUCCCGUGAAACAGCCUUCUCCCCGCCGGCAAGCUCCCUCACCACCCCUGCCCGCCGACGAGCGAAGCCAUGGCAGAGAGAUACCCUGGCGACGGCGCCGCGGUGAAUGGCUUCGGCCGCUGACACCUCCAGGAGCCGGAGGCGCACCUUCUGUACGAGGCCGAGUACCCGGCGCCCCCUGACAUGCGCGUGCCAGGCUCGUGGCGACUGAGCGCCGGCGGCGUCCCGGUGCCGCCGGUGCCCUAAGGGGCGGCAUGGCCGGUGGAGAUCGCCCACAUCCGCUCCUCGUUGGUGGGGGAGUAGCGGAACGAGCCGAGGUACGCGCCCGACAGCGAAACGUUGUGGACGUUGUACUUCGAGCGCCGCCUCGAGGAGCAGAUCGCCUCCGUCAAUGGCGUCAUCUGUGACGCCCCCGAUUCAAUCGUACACUAAUCAUGCACGCAAAUGUGUACGAUCAAGAUCAGGGACUCACGGGGAGAUAUCACAACACAACUCUAAAAACAUAAAUAAGUCAUACAAGCAUCAU